CUGAAAUAGAUGGUGCAAUGAUCUCACCCUUCCGUGUUGGUAGAAUUUCCUGCACUCCUAUGCUGCUCUCCAGCCCCUCCCACUGACGUCAUCCUGGACGUCCCUCCCUUUGCCUUGUGCAGAGCAUGGAAUGGUUCAUCUGGGUCCCAGCAGGAAAGCAGAGAGGAAAGUCAUACCACUGUCACUGUAACACCGUUCCGAGAUGGCUGGUGGGUCUGCAGGUGUACACUUGGCACCUCCUGUACUCUGGAACCCUCACAGUUGAAAUUCUGGAGAAGGUAAAACCACACAGCAACUCAGAGAUUCACAGUGAAGCUUCAUUUAAGUCAGCACUUUUCAGACGAUGCCCUUAGUAGCACAGUGCCAGUUAACAAUGCAGGUUUCUGAGCUCACCCCAGAACUACUAAAUCAAAAACUUCUGGGGAUGAGCAGAGACUUCUGAAUCCACAUUUAAACUGAAAAGCUCAGUUAAUCUCAUGUACAUGAAAGUAGAAAAAUUCCAGCUAAAAACUGACGCAUGGCUCAAAUGAAAAACACUGACACCGCCAAGUGUUGGCAAGGAAGCAGAGCAUCUGGAAUUAUCAGAGACACCUGGGAAGCGGGAUGGGGGGAGUUGAAAAUAGAACAAUGACUUUGGAAAACUGUCCAGCAGUGUCUGCUGAAGCUAAAUGUGCAAUUUUUCUGUGAACCGGCAAUGCCACUCCAAGGUAUUUACUCGAGAAGUGAGGCCUGUGUCCCCAAGAAGACAUGCACCAAAAAAUGUCCAUGGUAGCUUUGUUCCCAAUAACUUGAAACCAUGAAUAACUCAAAUGCUCAUCAACAAGCAAAUGGAGAAGUAAAGUGAAGUACAUUCAGAUUGUCAGGAAAGAUUUUCUAAGACUUGGAAAAGAGCCGAAGAGAUUCCUGGGUAUCCUUCUAGCUCAGGGUGGGGUGUGGUCCAGAGAUUUUCCAAGUGCACGGGGUGUGCACCUUUCUUUCUAUUGACUCUGUGACUUUACAACUCUGGCAGGAUAUGAGUUAGGUUAUGGAAAACCGAUAACAAGGCAGAUGCUUCUUGUUCAUAGCAAUUAAAACAAUUCCUGUUCACAGCCGUGCCAACAAAUCCUAUCUGCUAGAGAAUCUAAGUCUCCAGAAGUCAAGGUCUCAUUGGAACCUGUUUUUUAUGUUUUACUGAUUCACUCAUCAAUUAAUAAGUGGAGCAGAAUCAUUGAUACAUGGCGAAUACACAUUUGCAUACGUGUCAACUUUUUAACUUUGGAAAAU
rnacentral:lncRNA from 9 species